UACGAAGGGUGCAAGCGUUAUUCGGAAUAACUGGGCGUAAAGGGCGUGUAGGCGGCCAAGCAAGUCAGUCGUUAAAGACCAUCGCAUACCGAUGGAAAGGCGAUUGAAACUGCUAGGCUAGUGGGUAGGAGAGAGUAGUGGAAUUCUUGGAGUAGCGGUAAAAUGCGUAGAUCUCAAGAGGAACACCGAUGGCGAAGGCAGCUACUUGGCCUAUACCAGACGCUGAGGCGCGAAAGCGUGGGGAGCAAAC
rnacentral:rRNA from 1 species